UACAGAGGUCUCAAGCGUUGUUCGGAUUCAUUGGGCGUAAAGGGUGCGUAGGUGGCGCCGUAAGUCGGGUGUGAAAUUUCGGAGCUUAACUCCGAAACUGCAUUCGAUACUGCGGUGCUUGAGGACUGGAGAGGAGACUGGAAUUCAUGGUGUAGCAGUGAAAUGCGUAGAGAUCAUGAGGAAGACCAGUGGCGAAGGCGGUUAGCUGGGCAGUUGCUGACACUGAGGCGCGACAGCGUGGGGAGCAAACAGG
rnacentral:rRNA from 1 species